rnacentral:rRNA from 1 species
UACGUAGGUGACCAGCGUUGUCCGGAUUUACUGGGCGUAAAGAGCGCGCAGGCGGUCGUUCAAGUCGAGUGUGAAAGCCCCCGGCUCAACUGGGGAGGGUCACUCGAUACUGAUCGACUUGAAGGCAGGAGAGGGAAGCGGAAUUCCCGGUGUAGUGGUGAAAUGCGUAGAUAUCGGGAGGAACACCAGUGGCGAAGGCGGCUUCCUGGCCUGUUCUUGGCGCUGAGGCGCGAAAGCGUGGGGAGCGAACAGG